GGCGGGGCUGGUGUAACGCCAAAAUGGCUGCUGCUCGGAGUAGCUGUUAGGGUGGGCAGUAGUCGCCUGGGGGCGUUGGCGGGCUCUAGGGGUUAUGCCCCUCCCCCUAGUGUCUUUAAGCCAGCGCCUAACGGUUUUCGUCACUCUGCUAACCGCCUAGUUCUUUUGUCGUACUCUGAGCUCUUCUUAAACUUCCGCCCCAAACUCUUUCCUCAGAUUUCACACUAUCCUUGGCCUCUCCUUCUGUUCUCAGAGUUUGUCUUACGGAUGAAGGAAAAGGAGCUAUUUGAAGAAAAGUCUUUAAGAGAAGAAAGAACAAAGAUAAGAGACUUUUAUCAGAAGGACAGGUGAAGACAAGGAUAGUUUAGAAGUCAGAUAUGCCUACUUAUUUCAAGAAAAGUUCAAUGAAAUAUUGAUUGCCUACUGUAUGCUCAGAACUGCACAAGUGAUAUCAUCAGAAACAGGAUACUGAGCUGGAUGGAUGAAUCCAGAAUAGCUUUCAUUAUGCUCUUAAUUCAGUCAAAAGGAAAGACUAUCUACAGGACAAGAUCAAUGUACCAGACAAAAGUAU